AUGUAUUAUGAUGAGAAAAAAUUUUAUAGUUAUCCCUGUCUGAAUGGGUUAAAUAGAUUUAAUUAUCAUGGUAACCAAUCCGCAUGUCGAUAAUCUUUAUGGUACUUUCUGAAAUACAU